GUGGGGAAUAUUGGACAAUGGGCGAAAGCCUGAUCCAGCCAUGCCGCGUGUGUGAAGAAGGUCUUCGGAUUGUAAAGCACUUUAAGUUGGGAGGAAGGGCAGUAAGUUAAUACCUUGCUGUUUUGACGUUACCGACAGAAUAAGCACCGGCUAACUUCGUGCCAGCAGCCGCGGUAAUACGAAGGGUGCAAGCGUUAAUCGGAAUUACUGGGCGUAAAGCGCGCGUAGGUGGUUUUGUAAGUUGUAUGUGAAAUCCCCGGGCUCAACCUGGGAACUGCAUCCAAAACUGCAUGACUAGAGUACGGUAGAGGGUAGUGGAAUUUCCUGUGUAGCGGUGAAAUGCGUAGAUAUAGGAAGGAACACCAGUGGCGAAGGCGACUACCUGGACUGAUACUGACACUGAGGUGCGAAAGCGUGGGGAGCAAACAGAAUUAGAAACCCUAGUAGCC
rnacentral:rRNA from 1 species